UACAGAGGUCUCAAGCGUUGUUCGGAUUCAUUGGGCGUAAAGGGUGCGUAGGCGGCGGGGCAAGUCGGAUGUGAAAUCUCAGGGCUCAACCCUGAAACUGCAUUCGAUACUGCCUUGCUCGAGGACUGGAGAGGAGAUUGGAAUUCACGGUGUAGCAGUAAAAUGCGUAGAUAUCGUGAGGAAGACCAGUGGCGAAGGCGGAUCUCUGGACAGUUCCUGACGCUGAGGCACGAAGGCCAGGGGAGCAAACGGG
rnacentral:rRNA from 1 species